UCCUUCCUCUGCAAUUUUUUGGAAGAGUUUCAGAAGGAUUGUAUUUUCCAAGGAUGCUCCCAUCCCACAUGCUCUUUACAGUGUGGUAUGAACAUCCUCCAAAGAGAAGUGAGGUUUAUAAUCCCAUCCCUUGAACCUGUGAACUUCGUAACUUCUUGUGGUAAGUCAGGGGCUUGGGUGUUGUUCAAGGAGGAGACAAGAUAAACUUUAAACACAUAAACUUUAUUUGGAUGGCAGUUGGACAGGAUUGCAUGAGAGAGGAAGUCCUUCAACACGUGAGAACUGACAGAACUUAAGAAAAAAUUAGUUCCAGAGAUGGUGGCGUGAGACCACCACCUAUAAGUGGAACAGGACAAGGGGACUCCCAGGGGCAACAGGGAAAUCAGAGAGGGGCUCAUGUGUCUAGGUGAUGUCCCUCAGCAGCAGUUGCUCUGAAGGACAAGCAGUGGUUUGGGGUCUUAGAGCUAUAGGAUUGUCUUAUCUAUGGUCAGCAGAUGUUCAAUACAAUUUCAUGGGGUAUGUAAAGUAGGUAGGCUCUAAUCGGCUAAAAUUAUGGUUUGGGACAAUAUUUAAAGCAGUCGAUGUGUGAGGAUUUGAGUUUGUCACAGGCGGGCUUUUAGCUAAUGAUCCUAGCCUGCUUUACAAUGUUGUGUUAGUUUCUGCUAUACGGCAAAGCGAGUUAGUUAUACACAUAUCCGUUAGAAAUUUAAAUUUUAAACAUAAAUUAAUCGGCCAAACUAUUUAGCCAAAGAUAUUUUGCCAAAUGGCUUUGAAUUUGGGAUGCUUAAGGCAAUACAAAACUCCAAGCUUUUUCAAACACAUAUUUAUUUUUGGCAUCAUCCUAUGUCCAAGACAUUGUUUUGUGAUCAAGCCUUCCGUCUUCCUGGAACACUUCUCACACUUUCUCCUCUCCCUUUCCUCCAUCUGCCUGGUUAACUGUGUCCUUCAGCUGAGGUUUUAGGUAGCCCUUCCAAGUUAGAUGGCCCCACGUGAGUUUCCACAGCACCCUGUACUUCCCCUAUCAUAAUGAUUACGUUCUAUUAUCAUUACUUGUUUGACGUUUUACCCUGCAAAUACAUGAGCUCCGCAAGAGCUGAGAUUAUACCUGUGGUAUUUUAUCAAAUCCAAAAUGCCUGGCACAUAGUAGGUGCUUAAUAUUAGAAUAAAUGAAUGAAUUCAAAUGCAUAAGCAUGGUUCUUGCCAGAAAAAUUACCAUCUAGAAAGGGGCCAUAACAGGUAAAGAUCUGUACAAUACUAAGGGUGGUAAGAAAGAAUUGUGAGAAUGCAGUAAGGAGGUAGGAAGAGUGCACUGGGAAUAUGGAAGAGGAAAGCUCCUGGGUGAGAUCCAGGAAUUAUUAUCCAGUCUUGAAGGAUGGGUAGGUAGAAGCAGGGCACAUGAAUCAGUGAGAUUGAGGCAGGAGAGCUUUUGGCCUUUAGAAAACUGUGGAUGAAAGCAGAGGUCCUCAAAGUAUUGUCUUAGUGAAAUGUGUAGUAUUUACAGUGUGAUCAUGGCUCUGCUUUUACUUUUGGCAUGGAUUAAUAACGUGCUAAAAUUUAAGUUUAAUAAAUGGCAACUUCUUGUCAAGGCUGUGCAGUUCUAUCCAUUGGUGAGGUGUCUCUUCCCUUUCUCCACCUCACUUCCCCUACCCGGCCUUUGUGAAAUCAGAAGAGUGGGCUAAAUGAUUGGGGAAAGCACAGAGCUUCUCAUACUUCAAUGUGCAUAUAAAUCACCUGGAAAAUGCAGAUUCUGGUUCAGUAGGUCGGGGGUGGGGUCCGAGAAUUUCCAUCUCUAACUACCUCUCAAGUGAUGCUCAAACGCUGUCCCGAGACCACACUUUAAGUAGCAGGAUCUGGGGUGGAGCUCUAGCUGUGGACUAAAGAGACCAUCACAGGUAGAGUUGCAGCAACUUGGAGAAGGUUCUCUGGUUCAGUGAUUCUGGCCACCCCUCCCACCAUGUUCCUUCAUUCUUAAUCAUUUACAGGUGUUUUGGGUUUUAUUUACUAUUCCUUUGCUUUUGCAAUCCAGUUCGUGAAUUCUGGUUAAGUUGCGAUGCUCCUCAGGAACUGAAGAUGGCAGCACAAUCUUAGUCAUUAAAGGACACUUCCAUCCUAAAUGCUGUUAUGCAAAGGAAAAGCAUUUUCCUGCCCCUCUGUAUGUUUCUUAUUCUCUGGCCUGAUACAUGCUUAGAGAAGACAAGUUUCUUUGCAGAUGGAGCAUAGUUUUCCAGUGAUUUUUGAAAAUCAGGCUGGACUAAGAUUAUGUCAAAACCUUUUUUCUUAAAGCUUUUUUAGAACCCUGUUUUAAAUGUUUAUUAAAUUUUGUAUAUUCAAGAUGAAUUGCAAUUUCUGUUAAAAAAUUCCUGGAUUGUUUUGAAGUAUUUUCAUUUCUCCCAGAGAAAGUGUUGUCUUUCAGCUGCUAAUUAUUCAUGCUCUAUCUAGUGAAUACAUAAUCAUGGAAUUUAGGCUAAAAGAGAUUGAAGAGCUUUCAACCAAUUAGCUCACUUGACAAAA